UACGGGGGGGGUAAGCGUUGUUCGGAAUUACUGGGCGUAAAGGGCUCGUAGGCGGCCAACUAAGUCAUACGUGAAAUCCCUCAGCUUAACUGGGGAACUGCGUGUGAUACUGGAUGGCUUGGAUUUGGGAGAGGGAUGCGGAAUUCCAGGUGUAGCGGUGAAAUGCGUAGAUAUCUGGAGGAACACCGGUGGCGAAGGCGACAUCCUGGACCGGCAUUGACGCUGAGGCGCGAAAGCCAGGGGAGCAAACGGG
rnacentral:rRNA from 1 species